GAAGACAAGUCCGUACAUAUGGUUAAGAAGUUGGAGAACAAUUGGGAUGAACAGUCGUUCCUGAGCCAGCAUGAUUCUGUUAUAGACGUUAACCAAAAGGAUCUCAGAAAUAGUUAUAAUAUGUAUGAAGAUGGAAAUAAUGUAGAGUUCCAUCACCAAACUGCAGAAUUAGCUGCUAAACCAACUUGGUCAGCACAGAUGAUACCAGUCUCAUCUCCCAAGUCUUGUGUUACAACUUUGAGCAGCAACAUGCUUGAUUUUUCUAACAAAAACACACAUCCAACUCCAGAUCAUUCAUCUGAGUGCAACAGCAGAGCACCUAAUAAGAAGGCUAGGGUUCAACCAUCUUCAACUCAGUCUACCUUCAAGGUGAGAAAGGAAAAAUUAGGGGACAGAAUAACAGCUCUUCACCAACUUGUCUCCCCAUUUGGGAAGACUGACACAGCUUCUGUCCUGUUAGAAGCAAUUGGGUACGUCAGAUUCCUACAAAGCCAAAUUGAGGCCCUUAGCUUGCCCUACCUAGGUAGUGGAUCAGGAAAUAUGAGGCGCCAGCAAUCUGUUCAUGAGAGAAAUAAUUUAUUUCCUGAAGACCCUGGUCAGCUAUCCAAUGACAAUUCCCUGAAAAGGAAGGCAAAUAGUGAACAGGAUUAUCAAGAAGAUAAGAAAAAAGAUCUGCGGAGUAGAGGUUUGUGUCUAGUUCCGCUAUCAUGCACACUGCAAGUUGGGAGUGAC
rnacentral:misc_RNA from 1 species